rnacentral:lncRNA from 15 species
CGACCACCUAAAUGAUUUAAAGAAGAGAGGAAUUAAACAAUAAUAACAAUAAUAAAAAUUAAAACUAUCUCCUCAGUAGCACAAAAUAAAAUAAUGAAAUGUGGACUGUUAAAUAUCAGGUCUCUGUCCUCUAAAGCUGUUUUAGUGAAUGAAUUAAUAUCAGAUUAUGACAUUGAUUUACUUUGUCUUACUGAGACCUGGUUGUCCCACGAAGAGUAUGUUAGCCUAAAUGAAUCCACCCCCCCCCCCAGUCAUAUUAAUACUCACAUUCCUCGAGGCACUGGCCGAGGAGGUGGAGUAGCAGCCAUAUAUGAUUCGAGUGUUUUAAUGGACCCUAAACCUAAACUAAAUUAUAAUUCAUUUGAAAGCCUUGUUCUUAGUCUUUCUCACCCAAACUGGAAAACACUGCAGCCAGUUCUAUUUGUUAUAGUGUACCGCGCUCCUGGACCGUACUCUAAUUUUCUAUCUGAAUUCUCAGAGUUUUUAUCAAGUUUAGUCCUUAAAUCAGAUAAAGUAAUUAUUGUAGGUGAUUUUAAUAUUCAUGUGGAUGUUAACAAUGAAAGCCUUAGUAAUGCAUUUAUAUCAUUAAUAGACUCAAUUGGCUUCUGUCAGAGUGUAAAUAAUCCAACGCAUUGUUGUUUUAAUCACACUUUUGACCUUGUUCUAUCAUAUGGCAUUGAUAUUGAACAUUUAAUAGUCUUCCCAGAAAAUCCUUUCCUAUCUGACCAUUAUUUAAUAAUUUUUCAAUUCAUAUUACUAGAUUAUAAACCAUUAGGCAAAACUUCUUACAGCAGAUGUCUAUCUGACAGUGUUGUAGCUAAAUUUCAGGAGGAGAUUCCAUCAGUGUUUAAUUCAAUACCAUGUCUUAAUAUAUAAAAAGGAAAAUAUUGAAACAUAGGAGACUAGCACCGUGGUACAACCACCAAACUCAGCAGUUAAAGCAAAAAGCGCGAAAAUCUGAAAGGAAAUGGCGCUCUUCGAAAUUAUUAGAAUAUCGCUCAAUUUGGCAUGAUAAUCUUAAAACUUAUAGAAAGGCCCUCCUUAAUGCCAGAGGAGCCUAUUAUUCAGCACUAAUAUGACCACCAUAAUUAUUAUGGUGGACCUCAGAAGGCCCAGG